rnacentral:tRNA from 3 species
GCGAGGGUGGCGGAAUGGCAGACGCACCAGCUUGAGGUGCUGGCGGUAGCAAUACUGUGUGGGUUCAAGUCCCAUCCUUCGCACCA